CUCCAGCGAAAAACUCAGAGCGCAUUUUAACACUGUCAAUUGAAGAUGUAGAACAAUUUCCACUGCAAAAAAGUCAUUUUCAUUGAUAUACAUAGGUAUUCAGUUAUUUAAUUACACAUGCCAGUCGGAUGUGUCAUACGUGGGUGUACCAGUGAUGUACACUCUUGUGGGGAAGCUAUUGCAUUUCACAGGUAUUUAUUUUUUGUUUACUUUACUAAAAAUUCACAUUUCACACACAAGUAUUUAUUUAUUUAUUUAUUGUUUACUUUACUAAAAAUUCACAUUUCACAGGUAUUUAUUUAUUUUUUGUUUACUUUACUAAAAAUAAACAUUGUUUCCUUCUAAGGUUCCCGGGGUGGGCAAACAGAGAAACAAUGUUUCCACAACAAAAAUCUCACAGGGAAACGUCAAAUGUUUCUGAACUUGAUAUAGGAAACAUUCUUGUGUCCCAGGAAGCAAAAUUUGUUUCUGCAAAAUAUUUUUACAGGUGAGAAAAUGGGAAAGCAUUCAAGGAAGCAUUGAGAAUCACAAAUGUUUCCGCAACAAUGUUUCCUAGUUUACCCAGGGCUUAAGUAUACACACACAAAAAAACAAAAAUAAACCUGUGAUAUUAGAUACUUCAAAGAAAAUAUAACAAAACAAGCCUAUUUUUACACAUUUUGACUUUUGACAUGUGUGCAUCACCUACAACAAAAAAACAAAAAUAAAUAAGACGAGCAAACGGACAGAAGGGUGAAAAUAAAGCUGAAUUUGCAUAAAAAUUAUAAUUAUUGUUAUAGAUUUCCUUUGAAAAAUAAUGCUUUACUAAAAUGUUGGGAGAAUUAUGUUCAAAAAGUUAAUAAAAAGCCAUGGCAAGUCAACCGGUACAGUCGUAUAUGCAGCAAGCAUUUUCAAUCAACUGAUUAUAUCUUGCCUCCUUCAUCCAACAACACAUGCCGACUCAAAAAAUAUGCUUUUCCAUCUGCUUCACCUGUACAUUCUGACCCACCAACAUUAACAGCACAUGAUGAGGAAUUAAACAGAAGAAUAAACAAGAGGCCAUGUCCAGCCUAUGAACAUGAUGCUUCGAUUCCAGAAAAAAGAUCAAGAUAUGCCUCAAGUGAUGAAAGAGAUGAAUUACACACAAAAUUACAGCAAAAAAUACGUACACUACAACAAAAACUAAGAAGAACCAAGAAGAAGAUGAACACCAUGCAUGACGUUAUUCAAUUCCUAGAAGAAAAAUUAGUGUUAAAGCCCAAAGAAUCCGAAGCUCUGCUGUCCACCCUCAACAACACUCAACUCAAAUUUCUCUACAACUUCCAAGACAACAUCCAGUCUGCCCCAUCAGCAAGAAGAUACAGUGACGAAAUUAAAGAAUUCGCAUUGACAUUGUAUUUCUAUUCUCCCAG